rnacentral:rRNA from 1 species
GACGAACCGUCCUAACGUUGUUCGGAAUCACUGGGCUUAAAGGGCGCGUAGGCGGCUUGCCAAGUCAGGGGUGAAAUCCUGCAGCUUAACUGUAGAAGGGCCUUUGAUACUGGCGAGCUCGAGGGAGGUAGGGGUAUGUGGAACUUCCGGUGGAGCGGUGAAAUGCGUUGAUAUCGGAAGGAACGCCGGUGGCGAAAGCGACGUACUGGACCUCUUCUGACGCUGAGGCGCGAAAGCGUGGGGAGCAAACAGG